rnacentral:rRNA from 1 species
AGAAUAAGGUCGAGUCAUUAUGCUCUUUUUUCAGAGAUAUUCAUGUGUUACAAAGUUUGCGACAUGAGAUCUUACUAGAUGAGCUGGAAGUAAAAGCUUAUCAUCCGAAUUGAAAACUGAAAUGUCUUUAUGAAGGAGGAAUUAUUUGUAAUCUUUGGUUAGUUACUUAAAGGUGGACAGGAGAUAAAUUUUGCACAUACUGCCCGUCAAGCAAAAAGCAGAGAUGUAGAUUCAAACAGACCUUUGUAAAAUUGUUAAAUUGGCAUGCUAAUUUGUGUUAAGUCGAAACAUGGUAGCUCAUCAGGAAUGAUGGGCUUGAU